GUUCGGGGCUUGAUUCGGGCUCGGCCCGAUCCUCCCACCCUUUGUGUACCUACCUCUGUUGCUUUGGCGGGCCGCGGUCCUCCGCGGCCGCCCCCCUCCCCGGGGGGGUGGCCAGCGCCCGCCAGAGGACCAUCAAACUCCAGUCAGUAAACGAUGCAGUCUGAAAAACAUUUAAUAAACUAAAACUUUCAACAACGGAUCUCUUGGUUCUGGCAUCGAUGAAGAACGCAGCGAAAUGCGAUAAGUAAUGUGAAUUGCAGAAUUCAGUGAAUCAUCGAAUCUUUGAACGCACAUUGCGCCCUUUGGUAUUCCGAAGGGCAUGCCUGUUCGAGCGUCAUUACAACCCUCAAGCUCUGCUUGGUAUUGGGCACCGUCCUUUGCGGGCGCGCCUCAAAGACCUCGGCGGUGGCGUCUUGCCUCAAGCGUAGUAGAACAUACAUCUCGCUUCGGAGCGCAGGGCGUCGCCCGCCGGACGAACCUUCUGAACUUUUCUCAAGGUUGACCUCGGAUCAGGUAGGGAUACCCGCUGAACUUAAGCAUAUCAUAAGACCCGGAGGAAC
rnacentral:rRNA from 1 species